rnacentral:rRNA from 1 species
CCUACGGGUGGCUGCAGUGAGGAAUAUUGGUCAAUGGUCGGGAGUCUGAACCAGCCAUGCCGCGUGAGGGAGGAAGGUACUGAGUAUUGUAAACUUCUUUUGUCCGGGGAUAAAGACAGGGACGCGUCUCUGGAUGAGAGUAUCUGACGAAUAAGCAUCGGCUAACUCCGUGCCAGCAGCCGCGGUAAUACGGAGGAUGCGAGCGUUAUCCGGAUUUAUUGGGUUUAAAGGGUGCGUAGGCGGUCUGUUAAGUUAGAGGUCAAAUCCCGGGGCUCAACUUCGGCACUGCCGUGGAUACUGGCAGUCGAGAGAGGAGGAGCGGUAUGCGGAAUGCGCGGUGUAGCGGUGAAAUGCAUAGAGAUCACACAGAACUCCGAUUGCGAAGGCAGCAUACC